GCCAGGGGAGCGGGAGAGGAGGCAGAACCCUCCAAGGAGGGGCAAGAAGAGAUGACCCGACUUAUGACUGCAGAAUAGCUGCUACUGCUGGUACUGUAGGAUUUUUGUUUGGGCUGUCUUCUCCUUUCUUGCCCACUCAAAGGAUAUUGGUGUCCACUCAGGAAGCAGUAUGUUACACUCAAGAGUUGCCAUGCCAGCAGAUGGCACCAAUUCUCUUUCCAGAUCUUCUCUGGUCAAACAGGUCGGGAGUUCCAGAAUACCUCAAGCUGUUUAAAAACACUGGCAUCUUUGCCCUUUUCUUUUGCUCUUUCUGAGUGUGAAAUUUGGACCAAGAAGGCAGCAGACUGAGAAAAUGUCUGAAUCCCUUGGAAUGUGGCACUGCUGCCAAGUACAGCCAUGCCAGGAAAACACAGGCAGAUCAACCAGCAAAUGUGACCCAGGGCUAGGAGUUGAGGGAAAGGAGGUUUACUUUUGCCCAAGGAUGGUCAAAAGUAAAAGUGGGACUAUUUUAGGGACUUAUUGAGAAGGAAUUGGAGAACCAUGGAGAGAGGAGAAUGAAACAUGGGGAUUCCAGGGAAGAUGGAGAAGUCUUGGGUAGCCAAAGAGCAAUGACAGUCCACCUUGUUGAGGGAGAGCGGUGGUCUGUCCAGCUCAGCACACUCCCCUUGGAAGAAGGCACUCCUCAAUGUUUCCUUGUAGGGGAGAUCUGCAGUGCUUCUAUAAAGUUGCAAGAGGAAAUUAAGCCAGAACAGGGCCGAGGAAGCCUCUAUUCUGAAAUCACCAUGGCAAAAAUCUCUUGCAGAUAAUACAGUUUUCUUUAUCCUCAAAUGCACCCUUGUUCGUCAUUAGAAGGGAACAUAUUCUGCAGCUCUGUGCCACCAUAUGGGCCAUGGGGAGAGAUGAGCCAGGCUCCCAUCGUGCAUUAUAACAUAAAGGAAACAUUGCUUCCUGGCUGCAAAGGGAUGGUCAAAACAAAAACACAUGGGUAGAAGCGUAACACUAUUUUAAAAGGCAUAACUCUGAAUAAAGCCUGGAGGCAAAUGGAUUCCUCAUG